AUGGACAUGAGGGCUUCUGCUCAGCUCCUGGGGCUCCUGCUGCUCUGGGUUGCAAGUGCCAGAUGUGACAUCCAGUUGACCCAGCCACAAUCCCUGCCAUCAUCUCUGGGCAACGGAGUCACCAUUACUUGCAGAGCCAGUCAGGACAUUAGUGAGAGUUUACAUUGGUACCAGCAGAGAGCAGGGAAAGCUCCAAAGCUCCUGAUUCGUUAUGCAACUACUUUGCAAUCUGGGUUUCCAUUAAGGUUCAGUGGCAGUGGAUCUGGGACAGGGUUCACUCUCGCCAUCAGCAGCCUGCAGCCUGAAGAUGUGGCAACUUAUUUCUGUCAACAGAGUUAUAACAAUCCUCCCACAGGGAUACAAGUCAUAACAAAAACCUCCCAGCAAGGCAGAAGAUCCAGUGGAGAUGUUGUGAAGACCCAGUCUCCUGCCUGUCACACUGGGAGAUACGGCCUCCAUCUCCUGCAGGUCUAG